CUGGCCACUCAGAAAAAGCAUCAUAAAUAAAACAGCUGAGAAAGAUCACAACAGCCACAGGCUGGAGUGCUCUUUGGCCAGACCUCAUUACUGGGAAAGACAUGAAAUGGCAACACUGCCCCAAACUUUUCCAUGUCCACGAGAAAGGAAACAAUGAUUUAAGAAAAGAAAGAGGAGUUGGAAACAUGAGGAAAUAAACAAGGAGAAGAAAACAAGAUAAAUGGCUGUGACCUUGGAGACAUCGCUCCUGGGGAUGACAGAGAGGAAGGGAGGACAGGAACUGCUGCAUUCUAACACUGCCUCCUGCCCAGGCUCUCUCCAUAUUUAAGAUGAGAGAGGAGAAGAUUCAGAUGAGAGCAGCCCUAGGCCACAAUGUUUGUACAGAGGUGGCAAGUUUGGACAGUGUUUACAGGAAUCAUCUCCACACACACAUCUACACAUGUCCUAAAAGUGUGAUAUCAGAAACACAUGAAUUUCUGCCCUGGGGAUGUUUUAGCAAAGGUAGAAAGUAUCAGCCUUCCUGAUCUCACACCUCCAGAGGAAUAAAUCUGAAAAAUGCCACUGAAUGCACUGAAUGGAGGUGAAAUCUUUAGGAGUUUUUACACUACCUGCAAAUGUCACCCACAGACUCUAGGAGAAAAUUUUAGUCUCUCAUUGAAUUUAAAAUAACCUCCAGUUUUCUGUAUAGUAUCCAAAAUUAGAUCAUAUAUUUUGGUAGAAGUUACUCUGGGUUUGACAUUAUUAGCAAAGAAACAUCCAUGCCAAGCAGU